rnacentral:rRNA from 1 species
GACGAACGCUGGCGGCGUGCUUAACACAUGCAAGUCGAACGGAAAGGCCCUGCUUUUGUGGGGUGCUCGAGUGGCGAACGGGUGAGUAACACGUGAGUAACCUGCCCUUGACUUUGGGAUAACUUCAGGAAACUGGGGCUAAUACCGGAUAGGAGCUCCUGCUGCAUGGGGGGGGUUGGAAAGUUUCGGCGGUUGGGGAUGGACUAGCGGCUUAUCAGCUUGUUGGUGGGGUAGUGGCUUACCAAGGCUUUGACGGGUAGCCGGCCUGAGAGGGUGACCGGCCACAUUGGGACUGAGAUACGGCCCAGACUCCUACGGGAGGCAGCAGUGGGGAAUAUUGCACAAUGGGCGGAAGCCUGAUGCAGCAACGCCGCGUGCGGGAUGACGGCCUUCGGGUUGUAAACCGCUUUCGCCUGUGACGAAGCGUGAGUGACGGUAAUGGGUAAAGAAGCACCGGCUAACUACGUG